GAUGAAGAACGUAGCGAAAUGCGAUAAGUAAUGUGAAUUGCAGAAUUCAGUGAAUCAUCGAAUCUUUGAACGCACCUUGCACCCUUUGGUAUUCCGAAGGGUAUGCUCGUUUGAGUGUCAUUGUACUCUCACACUUCUAAUUCCUUUCGGGAUUGGGAGCGGUGGACUUGGGUGUUGCUGCUUUAGUUGUGGCUCACCUCAAAUAAGUUAGUGCAACUCUUGGUUGGACAUAGUACGGCGUGAUAAGUGUCUUCGCCGGCGCCUCUGUAAGGAGGGUGGCCGAUCGGGAGCUCUGUGCUUCAAACCGUCUUCGGACAAUCUUUGACAACUUGACCUCAAAUCGAGUAGGACUACCCGCUGAACUUAAGCAUAUCAAAUAAGCGGAGAA
rnacentral:misc_RNA from 1 species